UUCACUUACCAAAUUCUCUUACCCUGUCUUUGACAAGCCAAAGUGGUGGAGAAGGAGUCCAAGAAUGAACCAAAGAAUGAAGAAAGAAGAGACACGGAAUGAAGUCCUUGGAAGCAAUGCCAGUUGCUGAAACUGUCAGGAAUUCACAAGAUGUUCGAGACAGCUCAGAAGUUCAAUUUACAAUGAAAAAGUGUCCCAAGGAAGAAUACCUCUCAGCUAUCCUGUCCCUUCUCUGUAGAAGAGCUUGCAGAAAGCAGAAUUAGAAUUGAACCCGGCACAGAAGCUGUCCAGCGUGUGCUCUGGCUGACUUGGUAAGAUGUGAU